CCUACGGGUGGCAGCAGUGAGGAAUAUUGGUCAAUGGCCGGAAGGCUGAACCAGCCAUGCCGCGUGAAGGUCAGUGCCCUAUGGGCGUUAAACUUCUUUUGUGCGGGAGCAAUAAUGGUCACGUGUGGCCAGACGAGAGUACCGUACGAAUAAGCAUCGGCUAACUCCGUGCCAGCAGCCGCGGUAAUACGGGAGAUGCAAGCGUUAUCCGGAUGUAUUGGGUUUAAAGGGUGCGUAGGCUGGGAGGUAAGGCAGCGGUGAAAUGCCCCCGCUCAACGGGGUGAAGUGCCAUUGAUACUGCCUUGCUGGAGUGCGGAUGCCGUAGGAGGAAUGUGUGGUGUAGCGGUGAAAUGCAUAGAUAUCACACAGAACACCGAUUGCGAAGGCAGCUCACGAAUCCGCGAUUGACGCUGAUGCACGAAAGCGUGGGUAUCAAACAGGAUUAGAUACCCUGGUAGUC
rnacentral:rRNA from 1 species